GGCCCACACAUCGAAUCCGGGUCAUCAUCCAGCACUUUUCAUAAAAACCUGCCCUUGACAAAAGUACUUACACAUGCGUUAUUUAUGAAGAACUCACAACAAUAUUGCACAAAACGUAGUACCCCCUUUUUCAGAUGAAGGAAAGAAGGCCAGAAAAGUUGCAGGUCCUAUAAGUAGUAAGAGACAGGGUCCUUCCUGGAACACGUCCCAACUCCAGCCCCAACCCCCAGCACCAAGCUCAGUUCAUUUUAUACGUCCACUGUACUGUCCCCAAGCCAAGUUGAUUCUCCUCUGCAAACUAGAGAUGACCUCCUGUAGCAUCUAGAUGACUAUGUCCAGCUAGCUCUGGAGGUGGCAGGAGAGAAGCCCAGGAAGGAGAAGGACAGUGCAUCCCCAGCUUGUGCCAAGGGAAGCAGGAGGAGCAGAAAUUCUUGGCAGCCCCUGACCACUGUGCUUAUACAGUGAGCAGCACUUUGGGCCAGGGACCCGGCUCACCGUACUAGGACCCUAGUCUGGGAAGGCGGGUUUGUGCCUGGGUCCCCAGAGCUGUGCAAACACAGGACAGCUGUACUUUGGGGCCGGUUCCAAGCUGACGGUUCUGGCCAGAGAGCCCCCUGAGGGGUGUCUACAGCACCCAUUCCUGCCCGGACUGGACUGGACCCUCAGCCACUGGGAUGCAUCCCCAUCCCCAUAUCUCCCUCUGCCCCCCAGCCUGAAAUCUGGGACCUCACACUAAGUAUUUCAGCCUCAACAGCUCAGUGGUGGAGGAGGUUCAGUUGUUGCAAACAUAUUAAA